GCUCAGGAUGAACGCUGGCGGCGUGCUUAACACAUGCAAGUCGAACGAUGAAGCCCAGCUUGCUGGGUGGAUUAGUGGCGAACGGGUGAGUAACACGUGAGUAACCUGCCCUUAACUCUGGGAUAAGCCUGGGAAACUGGGUCUAAUACCGGAUAGGAGCGCCUACCGCAUGGUGGGUGUUGGAAAGAUUUAUCGGUUUUGGAUGGACUCGCGGCCUAUCAGCUUGUUGGUGAGGUAAUGGCUCACCAAGGCGACGACGGGUAGCCGGCCUGAGAGGGUGACCGGCCACACUGGGACUGAGACACGGCCCAGACUCCUACGGGAGGCAGCAGUGGGGAAUAUUGCACAAUGGGCGCAAGCCUGAUGCAGCGACGCCGCGUGAGGGAUGACGGCCUUCGGGUUGUAAACCUCUUUCAGUAGGGAAGAAGCGAAAGUGACGGUACCUGCAGAAGAAGCACCGGCUAACUACGUGCCAGCAGCCGCGGUAAUACGUAGGGUGCGAGCGUUAUCCGGAAUUAUUGGGCGUAAAGAGCUCGUAGGCGGUUUGUCGCGUCUGUCGUGAAAGUCCGGGGCUUAACCCCGGAUCUGCGGUGGGUACGGGCAGACUAGAGUGCAGUAGGGGAGACUGGAAUUCCUGGUGUAGCGGUGGAAUGCGCAGAUAUCAGGAGGAACACCGAUGGCGAAGGCAGGUCUCUGGGCUGUAACUGACGCUGAGGAGCGAAAGCAUGGGGAGCGAACAGGAUUAGAUACCCUGGUAGUCCAUGCCGUAAACGUUGGGCACUAGGUGUGGGGACCAUUCCACGGUUUCCGCGCCGCAGCUAACGCA
rnacentral:rRNA from 1 species